rnacentral:rRNA from 1 species
UUGACCUCGAAUUGGUAGGACUA